rnacentral:rRNA from 1 species
GAUGAACGCUAGCGGCAGGCUUAAUACAUGCAAGUCGUGGGGCAGCAGGUUUGUAGCAAUACAGAUGCUGGCGACCGGCAAACGGGUGCGGAACACGUACAGAACCUUCCUUUGAACGGGGAAUAGCCCAGAGAAAUUUGGAUUAAUACCCCAUAGUAUAAUGAAGUGGCAUCACUUUAUUAUUAAAGAUUUAUCACUCGAAGAUGGCUGUGCGGCUGAUUAGGUAGUUGGCGGGGUAAAGGCCCACCAAGCCUGCGAUCAGUAACUGGUGUGAGAGCACGACCAGUCACACGGGCACUGAGACACGGGCCCGACUCCUACGGGAGGCAGCAGUAAGGAAUAUUGGUCAAUGGAGGCAACUCUGAACCAGCCAUGCCGCGUGGAGGAUGAAGGUCCUCUGGAUUGUAAACUUCUUUCAUAUGGGACGAAAAAAGGCUUUUCUAAGUCGUCUGA